AACAUAUCAAUAAGCGGAGGAAAAGAAACCAACAGGGAUUGCCUCAGUAACGGCGAGUGAAGCGGCAACAGCUCAAAUUUGAAAUCUGGCUGCCUGUGCAGUCCGAGUUGUAAUUUGAAGAGGAUGCUUUUGGCAAGGUGCCUUCCGAGUUCCCUGGAAUGGGACGCCAUAGAGGGUGAGAGCCCCGUAUGGUCGGUCGCCGAGCCUCUGUAAAGCUCCUUCGACGAGUCGAGUAGUUUGGGAAUGCUGCUCAAAAUGGGAGGUAAACCCCUUCUAAAGCUAAAUAUUGGCCAGAGACCGAUAGCGCACAAGUAGAGUGAUCGAAAGAUGAAAAGCACUUUGAAAAGAGAGUUAAACAGCACGUGAAAUUGUUGAAAGGGAAGCGCUUGCGACCAGACUUGUGCUCGUCGAAUCAGCCGUCGCUCGUCGGCGGCGCAUUUCGGCGGGCUCAGGCCAGCAUCAGUUCGCUGCAGGGGGAGAAAGGCGGUAGGAAUGUGGCUCUUCGGAGUGUUAUAGCCUACCGUAUAAUACCCCUCGGUGGACUGAGGACCGCGCAUCUGCAAGGAUGCUGGCGUAAUGGUUGUCAGCGACCCGUCUUGAAACACGGACCAAGGAGUCGUCCUAAUAUGCGAGUGUUCGGGUGUAAAACCCCUACGCGUAAUGAAAGUGAACGGAGGUGAGAGCUUCGGCGCAUCAUCGACCGAUCCUGAUGUUCUCGGAUGGAUUUGAGUAUGAGCAUAUUGGGCCGGACCCGAAAGAAGGUGAACUAUGCCUGUAUAGGGUAAAGCCAGAGGAAACUCUGGUGGAGGCUCGCAGCGGUUCUGACGUGCAAAUCGAUCGUCAAAUAUGGGCAUGGGGGCGAAAGACUAAUCGAACCUUCUAGUAGCUGGUUUCCGCGA
rnacentral:rRNA from 1 species